UAGGGUUUUCGGAUGUGGUUUAUAUAGUGAGGCUUGUACACACACAAGCUCACGGAAACCUAAAGAGAACAGGCUCCCUUUGGUUUAAAUAAAAAUGAAAGACAUAAGGUUUUAAAAGACAUAAGUUUUAUAAGGCAUUAUAAGCUAAACCGGGAUCAUCAAAUGAGAGAUGUGAAAGUAACAUAUGGCCUCAUUAAAAACCUAUCUUUGGAAAACCCAGUGGAACAAAACCAAAGAUAGGGAAAAAGAGCACACAUAUGUUACUUGCUCAUUUGAUGUCUAUCUUGGAGCUGAGAUGGCUUGAAUUGUGGCAAGUGUGUCUUGGUUGAUCAAGCUUCUUCCAAGACUCUCUUCUUGCUUCAGUGAUGUCUUAAGUAAUCCUCCAAUGGCUUCUUUGAGUUGCUUGCUUCUGGCUCGAGUCAUAGGACCUUCAGAUAUGGCUAGAGCUCCUCCAUCAGCAGGAUCAUCCAUGCUCUCAUUAUCUUCUUUGUUUGGCUGGUCCAUGAUCAUAUCAUCCCCUCCCUCUUGAAAAGGAUUUGUCCUCAAAUCUAGCUCAUCUGCAACAAAAGGAGCCAAGUCAGUAACAUUAACGUUGAUAAUCAGAUUACACUUACCUUGCAAGCCUCUUUGAUAGGCAUUGUUGCUGACUGGAUUUGUUUGGUAGAAGGAACUGAUACGUUGGGCUCUCCAUACUCCUGAUGCAUUCCCCAAACCCGAUUCACACACACUGAAACAAAACAAGUUAGCACAUGCGAAGUUGUCAUAAAGUAAGAGUCUUAUCCCAAAUUUGUUUCUGCUCGGUUUUGGAUUGUAGGCUGCAUCUGGAGGUGCUUCUUUGAUGAUGAUAAAGCCAGGGACGUCUUGG
rnacentral:lncRNA from 1 species